rnacentral:lncRNA from 1 species
GGGACGCAAGACUGAUCUUGAUGUCCAUGGCCCAUGUAGGGUAAUUGUGGCCAUCGAGGGCAAGUUCCUCAAAUUCUUUGGCAGUCAUCUUUGCCUACAUGGAGAACCAGAGAUAAUUAAUUUACGGGUGGUAAAUUAAAAACCCUCAUGGUUGUGUAAUAAGAAUGCAAAAAUUUGAUAGUCAAGUGUAAAAACUUGAAAAAUUUCUCAACCUCAAUUGUGUGAACGUAACACAUUGAAGAUCACUUAGAUCUCACAGUAAUAGGCUGCAUGGCCAUUACCUUGUGUAUGCUACAAUUUAGAUAUAAGGAAUACACUUGAAGGUAAUCGCUUGUCGAGAUUUACAAAGCGUAGACCUCACAGUAAGAGAGGAUAGUCUGCACAUGUGCAGUAGAUCACAACUCAUUACCUUAUGAUUCCAAAUAAGACGAGGGAGAAAUAUUCAAAAAUUUGCAAGUUUGAGAUGCGAGAGAAGCUAAUCUCAAUCACAAUAAGAAACAUGUUCAAAAAUAUGUGGUAAACACAUGGAACAUGCCAUUUUUCCCAGAUGAAAUCCGGUACUUUAUUUAUAUCAUCAAUCCAUUGCAUAAUAUAAACACACUUAUAAUUACACAAAUCUUAAACUAGAGUAAAUCUAGAACUAGACUAAGUGUAAAUAGUAGUACUAAAAUAGUAGUGCUAAAUAUAGUCUAAAACUAUACUAUGUACACUAACUAGUGCUAACUAGUACUAAAUAGAGAAAUAAGAAAGAG